rnacentral:rRNA from 1 species
GAUGAACGCUAGCUAUAGGCUUAACACAUGCAAGUCGAGGGACCGGCGCACGGGUGAGUAACGCGUAUCCAACCUACCCAUAACUAAGGGAUAACCCAGCGAAAGUUGGACUAAUACCUUAUGGUUAUGGAUGGGGAUGCGUCUGAUUAGCUUGUUGGCGGGGGAACGGCCCACCAAGGCAACGAUCAGUAGGGGUUCUGAGAGGAAGGGACCCGACAAUUGAGAUGAGACCCGGACCAAACUCCUACGCGAUGCAGCAGAGAGUAAUAUUAGGGACGGGAGGCAAGUCUGAACCAGCCAAGUGGCGUGCAAGAUGACGGGCUAUGGGUUGUAAACUGCUUUUAUAUGGGGAUAGGUACCAUAUGAAUAAGGACCGGCUAAUUCCGUGCCAGCCGCCGCGGUAAUAC